rnacentral:rRNA from 1 species
UACAGAGGGGGCAAGCGUUGUUCGGAAUUACUGGGCGUAAAGGGCGCGUAGGCGGCCUGCUAAGUCGAACGUGAAAUCCCCGGGCUCAACCCGGGAACUGCGUCCGAGACUGGCGGGCUUGAAUUCGGGAGAGGGAUGCGGAAUUCCAGGUGUAGCGGUGAAAUGCGUAGAUAUCUGGAGGAACACCGGUGGCGAAGGCGGCAUCCUGGACCGAUAUUGACGCUGAUGCGCGAAAGCUAGGGGAGCAAACGGG